GGCAACAGAUGGUAGGAAAAAUUUCCACUAAUACAUAUACUUCACUUCAUUAGCAUUGCGGCAACAAAUCCCAUAAAUAUUGCACAUGAAAUCAUAAUGACGAUCUUCAUAUUUAGGACUUACUCUUCCAAUUUACGGGCUUUGUUCGCUUCCGAAUUCUGUAAAGCCUUCAAGCUAUCCACUCUUUCCUUUAAUUUUUCCCUUUCAAGAAUAAUCGCAUCCAACGUCGACUUCAUAUUUUUGAGUUUAACAUUAGCGGCAUCCAAUUUGUAAUGCAUAUUGUU
rnacentral:lncRNA from 1 species